AGCGAACGCUGGCGGCAGGCUUAACACAUGCAAGUCGAGCGGGCACUUUCGGGUGUCAGCGGCGGACGGGUGAGUAACGCGUGGGAACGUGCCCUCUGGUUCGGAAUAACUCAGGGAAACUUGAGCUAAUACCGGAUACGCCCUUUUGGGGAAAGGCUUGCUGCCGGAGGAUCGGCCCGCGUCUGAUUAGCUAGUUGGUGAGGUAACGGCUCACCAAGGCGACGAUCAGUAGCUGGUCUGAGAGGAUGAUCAGCCACACUGGGACUGAGACACGGCCCAGACUCCUACGGGAGGCAGCAGUGGUGAAUAUUGGACAAGGGGCGCAAGCCUGAUCCAGCCAUGCCGCGUGAGUGAUGAAGGCCUUAGGGUUGUAAAGCUCUUUUAUCCGGGACGAUAAUGACGGUACCGGAGGAAUAAGCCCCGGCUAACUUCGUG
rnacentral:rRNA from 1 species